AUUAGCUAGUUGGUGAGGUAAAGGCUCACCAAGGCGACGAUCUCUAGCUGGUCUGAGAGGAUGAUCAGCCACACUGGAACUGAGACACGGUCCAGACUCCUACGGGAGGCAGCAGUGGGGAAUAUUGCACAAUGGGCGCAAGCCUGAUGCAGCCAUGCCGCGUGUGUGAAGAAGGCCUUCGGGUUGUAAAGCACUUUCAGCAGUGAGGAAGGUGGUUGUGUUAAUAGCGACAUCAUUUGACGUUAGCUGCAGAAGAAGCACCGGCUAACUCCGUGCCAGCAGCCGCGGUAAUACGGAGGGUGCGAGCGUUAAUCGGAAUUACUGGGCGUAAAGCGCAUGCAGGUGGUCUGUUAAGUCAGAUGUGAAAGCCCGGGGCUUAACCUCGGAGUUGCAUUUGAAACUGGCAGACUAGAGUACUGUAGAGGGGGGUAGAAUUUCAGGUGUAGCGGUGAAAUGCGUAGAGAUCUGAAGGAAUACCGGUGGCGAAGGCGGCCCCCUGGACAGAUACUGACACUCAGAUGCGAAAGCGUGGGGAGCAAACAGGAUUAGAUACCC
rnacentral:rRNA from 1 species